GUCAGCGUUGGGACUGCAGCGAAGGCCCUCAAAAGCUCGAGUUCCUGUGGGUUUCCGCAGGAGCUUUCCGCCAUUGGCCAGGCUUUGAAACAGCUUUAGGAACGAUAAGGAAACUGAGGCAUAGAAAAAUAACCUGUCAAAUAGAGGGGAGCAGUUAAAGAGGCAGAGUUUCACCCCAAGCAGUGAGAGGGGCACCACCAAGCCCCCUCCCCAGGAACCACAUUCAGCAUCUCAGCAUCAAGCUUUGAAGCCAUAG